AAGUCGUAACAAGGUCUCCGUUGGUGAACCAGCGGAGGGAUCAUUACCGAGUUUACACUCAUAACCCUUUGUGAACAUUAUAACUUGUUGCUUCGGCGGCUUCUUCGGGAGCCCGCCGGCAGCCUACUAUACUCUGUCUCUUUGCGUUGGCAUCUCGAGUACAAUCAAACAAGUUAAAACUUUCAACAACGGAUCUCUUGGUUCUG
rnacentral:misc_RNA from 1 species